AAUGGGGGACGGUCAGAGAGAGGGAGACACAGAAUCUGAAACAGGCUCCAGGCUCUGAGCUGUCAGCACAGAGCCCGACGCGGGGCUCGAACUCAUGGACUGCGAGAUCAUGACCUGAGCCGAAGUCGGCCGCCCAACCGACUGAGCCACCCAGGCGCCCCAGCAAUUAUUUGUUUUUAAUUUCAAAUAGAGUAAUAGUGAUAGACAUAACUCAAAGAAAACUCUUUGGGGUCCUUAGACCAAGAAGUUUUAAAACCACUGUGUACAUAAUGAGUAAUAAAUCCUGCUUUGCCUUCCCCAUUUGAAAUGAUAUGACUGAUACCUCUGCCUAUAAAUCUUUUUGGUCUCUUACUCUAUAUGUCAUAGCAUUACACGUUUCAGAGUUGUUUUUUUUUCUUCCCCAAGAUAGUGCCACUUGGCAUUUGUAUGAAUACUCAGUACAGAAUAUACUAAAAAAUGAUCAUGCUUACACUGAGUGCCAAGAUACUUGGAAUAAUUUUUACCCUGUGUCUCUUCUAAUACAGUAGAAGUGCUAGGAGUAUUGCUAUAUCUUUAGUAUCUUUUACAUAUCUUUAUUAAGAAUUUCUGAAAUAAUUCCUCUAGUUCAUGUAAGUAUUUAUGCACACAUCUUAAAUUCCUUUAGGUAAAACCUGAAAAGGUAAUAUGCCAGGAGCCCAAACUAUGGGAAUGUCAAUCAGGAAUGAUGAUAACACAUCUGUUACUUAACUCCUCCCUGUUUCAGUUCCCUCAUCUUAAAUUAAGGAUAAUCACAGUACCUCUCUCAUAGGAUUAUAGUGAAGACUGAGCAAAUAUGUGUAAAAUAAUUAGAACAGUGCCUGGCACACAGAUUUUAAAACUACAUGAAUAAUUUCUUUGCAAGAAUUUAUCUUUGGAAUAAAAUUCCACUUCCAAGUAUACAUAAUUGCUGUGUAAGACAAAGAUGGCCUAUAGUAAAUCCCUUUCCCCAAUGUCCAGGGCUGUGGACUGGACUUUCAAACUUUAGAAAGCACUGAACACCUGGAGUGACUGUUAAAAUACAGAUGGAUUGAGUGCAUCCCCAGAUGUUCUUAUUUCACAUGUCUGGGUGAGCCCUUGGGAAUGUGCAUUUCUUACACUUUCCAGAGAUGCUGAUGAUGGUUGUUUGGGGACCCCACUUAUCUACUAGGACUACAUUUUGUAUACUUUAUAAAUAUUAUCAGCUUAUGAGAGUAUUUAGCAUACCCUAAGUUUUUGUUUAAUGAUUGGAUUUGAUUCAAUACAAGAGAAUAAAACCAUUGAUUCAGUUGGGUACACAGAAAACACUGAGACACUUCUCAUUCUUUUCAAUUGCUUGUAGUGGUGCGGAAUUUUUUUUUUUUUUUUAUAGUAGCAAUGCACCUUUCUUAACCAACACAAAUUUUGCAAAGCAGUAAAAUGAGAGUUCAUAGAAUUGAAAUUUCGCAGAUUUGAAAGGCAGAGAGAUUCAA